UACGGGGGGGGGCAAGCGUUGUUCGGAAUUACUGGGCGUAAAGGGCUCGUAGGCGGCCAACUAAGUCAGACGUGAAAUCCCUCGGCUUAACCGGGGAACUGCGUCUGAUACUGGAUGGCUUGAGUUUGGGAGAGGGGAUGCGGAAUUCCAGGUGUAGCGGUGAAAUGCGUAGAUAUCUGGAGGAACACCGGUGGCGAAGGCGGCAUCCUGGA
rnacentral:rRNA from 1 species